rnacentral:tRNA from 1 species
GGAGAUGUGGCUCAGCAGUUAGGAGCACUGGCUGCUGCUGUUCCAGAGGACCUGGGUUCAGUCCCCAGCACCUACA